UACGAAGGGUGCAAACGUUGCUCGGAAUCAUAGGGCGUAAAGCGCACGUAGGCGGCUCCGCAAGUCGGAUGUGAAAUCCCUCGGCUCAACCGAGGACGUGCAUCCGAAACUGCAGAGCUUGAGUAUGGAAGAGGGUCGCGGAAUCCCCGGUGUAGAGGUGAAAUUCGUAGAUAUCGGGGGGAACACCAGUGGCGAAGGCGGCGACCUGGGCCAAUACUGACGCUGAGGUGCGAAAGCGUGGGGAGCAAACAGG
rnacentral:rRNA from 1 species